AAUUCUGCUCAUAAAUAUAUAACUAAAAGAAUUAACCAACUUUUAAACUUGAUGAUGUAUUUAUCAUGUUAAAGUUGACAAAGUUUUUAUCUGGCAAUGCAGAAGAAAAAUAUUUAAUUUACAUGGUGACUGCUCUGCGACCCGUCGACUGCUUUGAUUGCUGUACAUUUUUAUAUAUACCCUUUAUCAAUAUGUUCUGCUAGAGAGCCCAGACGAGCGAGCGAACCAACCCUGCCAAACGAAAGUUAAUUGCCGUGCAAUUUUUGUAUGCAUAAAUAACGCAGCAGCAUGUUGGCGGGAAGGCAAAAGGCGGCCCAUAACCCUAGCCAAAAAACAGGAAAAUCCCACACACACAGUUACAGUCCGAAAGCAAAUGCCCGUUAAAAUGUUUCACAUGGCACAAAAUAUGUUGAUAAAAGAAAUAUAUAAAUAAAGCACAAAAUAUACGAAUGUAAGCGUGUGAGCGUAUACCCACUCACAUAUUUGGGCAUGACACAUUUUUAUAUAUUUAAGUCAAAUAAAUAAUUUAA